rnacentral:rRNA from 1 species
GUCGAGCGGUAGCAGGUCCUUCGGGAUGCUGACGAGCGGCGGACGGGUGAGUAAUGCAUAGGAAUCUGCCCGGUAGUGGGGGAUAACCUGGGGAAACCCAGGCUAAUACCGCAUACGUCCUACGGGAGAAAGGGGGCUUUGGCUCCCGCUAUUGGAUGAGCCUAUGUCGGAUUAGCUAGUUGGUGAGGUAAUGGCUCACCAAGGCAACGAUCCGUAGCUGGUCUGAGAGGAUGAUCAGCCACAUCGGGACUGAGACACGGCCCGAACUCCUACGGGAGGCAGCAGUGGGGAAUAUUGGACAAUGGGGGCAACCCUGAUCCAGCCAUGCCGCGUGUGUGAAGAAGGCCUUCGGGUUGUAAAGCACUUUCAGCGAGGAAGAACGCCUGGCGGUUAAUACCCGGUAGGAAAGACAUCACUCGCAGAAGAAGCACCGGCUAACUCCGUGCCAGCAGCCGCGGUAAUACGGAGGGUGCAAGCGUUAAUCGGAAUUACUGGGCGUAAAGCGCGCGUAGGUGGCUUGAUAAGCCGGUUGUGAAAGCCCCGGGCUCAACCUGGGAACGGCAUCCGGAACUGUCAGGCUAGAGUGCAGGAGAGGAAGGUAGAAUUCCCGGUGUAGCGGUGAAAUGCGUAGAGAUCGGGAGGAAUACCAGUGGCGAAGGCGGCCUUCUGGACUGACACUGACACUGAGGUGCGAAAGCGUGGGUAGCAAACAGGAUUAGAUACCCUGGUAGUCCACGCCGUAAACGAUGUCGACCAGCCGUUGGGUGCCUAGCGCACUUUGUGGCGAAGUUAACGCGAUAAGUCGACCGCCUGGGGAGUACGGCCGCAAGGUUAAAACUCAAAUGAAUUGACGGGGCCCGCACAAGCGGUGGAGCAUGUGGUUUAAUUCGAUGCAACGCGAGAACCUUACCUACCCUUGA